rnacentral:sRNA from 1 species
UGAAUUUACAAGAAGAUCUUUUAAAAACUCUUGUAAAUCUUUUUAAAACCUUUUAAAAUCCCUUGUAAAUCUUUUAAAACCCUUGUAAAAUCUCUUGUAAAUCUAUUUCCCGCCAAAACAAAUUUACAAGGAUUUUUAAAUGCAUUUUUUGGCUGAGAAAAAAUUUGUUAAGGAAAAAAUUUUGGCGGGAAUUUUUUUUUCGGCUGGAAUU